UAGAGAAGCACAGGCCUUACUUCAACGCGCCUUUGCGCAGCAUCGCCACAUGGGUGGCGAUCAGUUGCUCGCGGUCCACCCAGGGAAACUCCGGGCGCGCGAUCAACAGCGACACCAGGCCAUGCAGGCCGGCCCACAGCGACUGGGUCGCGGCGAUGGCGUCGUCGCUGACGAUUUCGCCACGGGCAUGGAACUGGGCCACGAUCUCGGCGAACACCGCGAAAACCGCCUGACCCGCGAUCAUGGGCCGGCCACCGGUCUUCUCCAGGAACGAGCCGUCGACGCUCUUUU
rnacentral:sRNA from 1 species